rnacentral:RNase_P_RNA from 1 species
CCGGGGGGCCGGGCAGCCGCGUGAUCGCAAGAUCACGAGGAAAGUCCGGGCUCCACGAAACAAGGGUGGCGGGUAACGCCCGCCGCGGGCAACCGUAGGGAAAGUGCCACAGAGAGCAGACCGCCGAUGGCCCCGGACUCGUUCCGGGGCACAGGCAAGGGUGAAAGGGUGCGGCAAGAGCGCACCGGGGGCCUGGUAACAGGCUCUGCAUGGCAAACCCCACCCGGAGCAAGACCAAAUAGGGGUCUCGCGCUGACCUUCGGGAAGGCAGGAGCGUUUCGCUCCAAGAGAUCCGGGUUGGUCGCUGGAGCGUUGGGAGCAAUCCCGCGCGUAAGACGAAUGGCUGCCCCCGCGGCGCUGAUGUGCAAGCAUAUCGGCUGCGGGACAGAACCCGGCUUACAGGCCCCCCGGCAUC